UGGAUCGAUGAUGAACGGUGCCAUAUGAGCCGAGGAUCAUGAUUACGGGUCUAAGAUUCUGAGUUCCAC